GCUCAUUUUACCCCUGCAGUUAGAACCCUGUGCUUGUGACAGCAAUGAGAUUUCCAAGGUAACCAAGGACAACAGAGUAGAGAAUUAUGGCCCCGGAAGGAAGCAGAUUAAAUUGUAAUACUUACGAGUCAACAUCAAAUUUAUUUUUAAAACCACGUAUCUAACAAAAGCCAAAUAGGCAAGGCAGCAUGGAUGGUGUUUUACAGGAGGACUGAACUAUCAACAUGAAUAUUCCAAAUUCCAUCCAGUUGCAGCAGCAGACUUUGCUAAAAAUGUGCACAAUAAUUACUUCACCCAGAGAAAGUGAUCACCAGGCGAGACAACACACUGGUUAAAAAAAAACAAAACAACAACAACAA